ACAGAGGAGGCAAGCGUUGUUCGGAAUCACUGGGCUUAAAGCGCGUGUAGGCGGCUUAGAAAGUGUCGUGUGAAAUCCCGCGGCUCAACCGCGGAACUGCACGGCAAACUACUUGGCUUGAGGUCGGUAGAGGUGCCUGGAACUCUAGGUGGAGCGGUGAAAUGCGUAGAUAUCUAGAGGAACGCCAGAAGCGAAAGCGGGGCACUGGGCCGAUUCUGACGCUGAGACGCGAAAGCGUGGGGAGCAAACAG
rnacentral:rRNA from 1 species